rnacentral:rRNA from 1 species
UACGUAGGGCGCAAGCGUUGUCCGGAAUUAUUGGGCGUAAAGAGCUCGUAGGCGGCCUGUUACGUCUGCUGUGAAAUCCCGGGGCUUAACCCCGGGCGUGCAGUGGAUACGGGCAGGCUGGAGGCAGGCAGGGGAGAACGGAAUUCCCGGUGUAGCGGUGAAAUGCGCAGAUAUCGGGAGGAACACCGGUGGCGAAGGCGGUUCUCUGGGCCUGUACUGACGCUGAGGAGCGAAAGCGUGGGAAGCGAACAGG